UACGUAGGUGGCAAGCGUUGUCCGGAUUUACUGGGCGUAAAGAGCGCGCAGGCGGUCGUUCAAGUCGCGUGUGAAAGCCCCCGGCUCAACUGGGGAGGGUCAUUCGAUACUGAUCGACUCGAAGGCAGGAGAGGGUAGUGGAAUUCCCGGUGUAGUGGUGAAAUGCGUAGAUAUCGGGAGGAACACCAGUGGCGAAGGCGACUACCUGGCCUGUUCUUGACGCUGAGGCGCGAAAGCUAGGGGAGCAAACAGG
rnacentral:rRNA from 1 species